GACAGAGGGUGCAAACGUUGUUCGGAAUUACUGGGCGUAAAGCGCGUGUAGGCGGCUCGGAAAGUCGGAUGUGAAAGCCCAGGGCUCAACCCUGGAAGUGCACUCGAAACUCCCGAGCUGGAGUCCCGGAGAGGAAGGCGGAAUUCUCGGUGUAGAGGUGAAAUUCGUAGAUAUCGAGAGGAACACCUGUGGCGAAGGCGGCCUUCUGGACGGUGACUGACGCUGAGACGCGAAAGCGUGGUGAGCAAACAGG
rnacentral:rRNA from 1 species